UUGAAUAUUUCGCUUAAUUUUCUUAUUAGAAAAGCGGGGGAACCAUAAGUUUCAUGGGGUGAGUAAAGGUGCUUACGUUUGGCACCAAUUAGGGCAGAUUCUCGCGGCCCGAACCCGACAGCUAACCUCGUAAGCGACCGUGAGAAGGAGA
rnacentral:sRNA from 2 species